rnacentral:rRNA from 1 species
GUGUCAGCAGCCGCGGUAAUACGAAGGGGGCUAGCGUUGCUCGGAAUUACUGGGCGUAAAGCGCACGUAGGCGGCGACAAUAGUCAGGUGUGAAAGGCCUGGGCUCAACCCGGGAAUUGCAUUUGAUACUGUGUUGCUAGAGUCCAAGAGAGGGUAGUGGAAUUCCCAGUGUAGAGGUGAAAUUCGUAGAUAUUGGGAAGAACACCAGUGGCGAAGGCGGCUACCUGGCUUGGUACUGACGCUCAGGUGCGAAAGCGUGGGGAGCGAACAGGAUUAGAUACCCUCGUAGUCC